rnacentral:rRNA from 1 species
CGACCGGCGCACGGGUGAGUAACACGUAUCCAACCUGCCGAUAACUCGGGGAUAGCCUUUCGAAAGAAAGAUUAAUACCCGAUGGCAUAGUUCUUCCGCAUGGUAGAACUAUUAAAGAAUUUCGGUCAUCGAUGGGGAUGCGUUCCAUUAGGUUAUUGGCGGGGUAACGGCCCACCAAGCCUUCGAUGGAUAGGGGUUCUGAGAGGAAGGUCCCCCACAUUGGAACUGAGACACGGUCCAGACUCCUACGGGAGGCAGCAUG